UGAGGAAUAUUGGUCAAUGGGCGCUAGCCUGAACCAGCCAAGUAGCGUGAAGGAUGAAGGCUCUAUGGGUCGUAAACUUCUUUUAUAUAAGAAUAAAGUGCAGUAUGUAUACUGUUUUGUAUGUAUUAUAUGAAUAAGGAUCGGCUAACUCCGUGCCAGCAGCCGCGGUAAUACGGAGGAUCCGAGCGUUAUCCGGAUUUAUUGAGUUUAAAGGGAGCGUAGGUGGACUGGUAAGUCAGUUGUGAAAGUUUGCGGCUCAACCGUAAAAUUGCAGUUGAUACUGUCAGUCUUGAGUACAGUAGAGGUGGGCGGAAUUCGUGGUGUAGCGGUGAAAUGCUUAGAUAUCACGAAGAACUCCGAUUGCGAAGGCAGCUCACUGGACUGCAACUGACACUGAUGCUCGAAAGUGUGGGUAUCAAACAGG
rnacentral:rRNA from 1 species